rnacentral:lncRNA from 10 species
UCUUGUUUGGGGAUUGGAGAGGGAAGUGCGUCUGGAUGACUACUAAGAUGAGGAGGCUGAGGCCUAGUGCUCCUAGCGGGCUUGGUCAAGAGCAGGAGGCGGAGGUGGUGGAAGGCUGUUUCCCUGCGCAUUCUAGCCUGUGAGAAGAAGAAAUGUGUGAAAAUUCUGGAGCUUUCCUCUCCCAGGGAUAACUGGAGGCCUUGAGGAUUGAAAGAGAAAGCGUCGGUUUUUUGUCCUUGAGAUAGUUUGCUGAGAAUGAUGGUUUCCAGCUUCAUCCAUGUCCCUACAAAGGACACGAACUCAUCAUUUUUUUAUGGCUGCAUAGUAUUCCAUGGUGUAUAUGUGCCACAUUUUCUUAAUCCAGUCUAUCAUUGUUGGACAUUUGGGUUGGUUCCAAGUCUUUGCUAUUGUGAAUAGUGCCGUAAUAAACAUGUACCCUAAAACUUAAAGUAUAAUAAAAAGAAAAAAAAGAAAAGAAA